AGAUCAGCCCUGGGGUUCAGAGGGAUCCUGACAGCUACUCCUCAAGAUCCUCUCUGUUGUGAUUCAUCCCCCCGGGGCCCUACAGUUUCUCCUUCCUGACUCUUACAUUUCUUUGGAUGGCAUCAUUAUUUACCUGUCUCCUCCCAUAGUUAGGUGCCAAGCACUGUGGAUUCUGCCUCUCAGUGUCCAGACACCCAUUUUCCUUCCCACUGUUCCUUCCCCAUGGAGAAGCCUGUGGCUGGCUGACAGCAGAGAGAGAUGCUCAACUUGGAGAAGGUGUUACCUGGGCCAGGUGGGGAAGGUUUGUUUGCAGAGCAAAGAAGUGAAGCCCUCCAUUCUAGUAUUCAAGACCUUUUGCAACUCAGAAUGAGUGCAUCUGAAAUUCUCAGAAUUGGGAAAAACAUAGCAGAUUUGAAUUGGCAUAUAAUAGGAUUUGCCAUAAGGAACUAUCUUAGGGAGGAAUUUCUGCAUAGUUGACCCUUGAACAACAUGGAUUUUAACUGCAUGGAUGCACUUAUACAUGGAUUUUCUUCCACCUCUGCUAACCCUGAGACAGCGGAACCAACCCCUCCUCUUCUUCCUCCCCCUCAGCCUAUUCAACGUGAAAAAGAUGAGGAUGAAGACCUUUAUUAUGAUCCACUUCCAAGUAAUGAACACACUGGAGAAAGUCAGACAGUCAAAACAAUGUCCCAGACUCCGUGAAGUUCCUGGGUAGAGAAGGAGACAGACAUAUACCAUACCUAAUAAUUGGAUGUCCGAGAGAAUGAGAGA
rnacentral:lncRNA from 1 species